UACAGAGGGGGCCAGCGUUAUUCGGAAUUAUUGGGCGUAAAGGGCGCGUAGGCGGCCAUGCGUGUCUUCCGUGAAAGCCCCCGGCUCAACUGGGGAGGGUCACUCGAUACUGAUCGACUUGAAGGCAGGAGAGGGAAGCGGAAUUCCCGGUGUAGUGGUGAAAUGCGUAGAUAUCUGGAGGAACACCGGUGGCGAAGGCGGCAUCCUGGGCCGGUAUUGACGCUGAGGAGCGAAAGCCAGGGGAGCAAACGGG
rnacentral:rRNA from 1 species